UUUCUGCGAUAGUGAUUGAAGUGGCAUCCUUUUUUGAGGUAGGAGAAAAAGAUAUAACGGAAAGCACGGUUUAUU
rnacentral:sRNA from 1 species